rnacentral:rRNA from 1 species
UACGGAGGGGGCAAGCGUUAUUCGGAAUUAUUGGGCGUAAAGGGCGCGUAGGCGGCUUGACAAGUCAAAGGUGAAAUCCCUCGGCUCAACUGAGGAACUGCCUUUGAAACUGUCUGGCUUGAGGCCGGGAGGGGGUAGCGGAAUUCCCAGUGUAGCGGUGAAAUGCGUAGAUAUUGGGAGGAACACCAGUGGCGAAGGCGGCUACCUGGACUGGUUCUGACGCUGAUGCGCGAAAGCGUGGGUAGCAAACAGG